rnacentral:rRNA from 1 species
GAUGAACGCUGACAGCAUGCUUAGCACAUGCAAGUCAACUUGAAUUUGGGUUUUAACUUAGGUUUGGGUGGCGGACGGGUGAGUAACGCGUAAAGAACUUGCCUCACAGCUAGGGACAACAUUUGGAAACGAAUGCUAAUACCUAAUAUUAUGAUAAUAGGGCAUUCUAUAAUUAUGAAAGCUAUAAGCGCUGUGAGAGAGCUUUGCGUCCCAUUAGCUAGUUGGAGGGGUAACGGCUCACCAAGGCGAUGAUGGGUAGCCGGCCUGAGAGGGCGAUCGGCCACAAGGGGACUGAGACACGGCCCUUACACCUACGGGAGGCAGGAGUGGGGAGUGUUGGACGAUGGACCGAGAGUCUGAUCCAGCAGUUCUGUGUGCACGAUGAAGUUUUUCGGAAUGUAAAGUGCUUUCAGUUGGGAAGAAACAAAUGACGGUACCAACAGAAGAAGUGACGGCUAAAUACGUG